AAUCCCCCCCUUGGGGUUGCCCUGUGCUGUGGCUCAGUGGCCUCAAGGGGAUGAAUAGGGGAUUAGGCUGGGCUCUGCUCAGCACAUUCCAGUCCCCAGUCUACAGAU